rnacentral:rRNA from 1 species
ACGAACGCUGGCGGCGUGCUUAACACAUGCAAGUCGAACGGAAAGGCCCUGCUUUUGUGGGGUGCUCGAGUGGCGAACGGGUGAGUAACACGUGAGUAACCUGCCCUUGACUUUGGGAUAACUUCAGGAAACUGGGGCUAAUACCGGAUAGGAGCUCCUGCUGCAUGGUGGGGGUUGGAAAGUUUCGGCGGUUGGGGAUGGACUCGCGGCUUAUCAGCUUGUUGGUGGGGUAGUGGCUUACCAAGGCUUUGACGGGUAGCCGGCCUGAGAGGGUGACCGGCCACAUUGGGACUGAGAUACGGCCCAGACUCCUACGGGAGGCAGCAGUGGGGAAUAUUGCACAAUGGGCGGAAGCCUGAUGCAGCAACGCCGCGUGCGGGAUGACGGCCUUCGGGUUGUGAACCGCUUUCGCCUGUGACGAAGCGUGAGUGACGGUAAUGGGUAAAGAAGCACCGGCUAACUACGUG